rnacentral:lncRNA from 13 species
GAUGGUGUACGGAUUGAUGAAAUAUCCAUUCCUGAUGAUCCACCCGGCUACGAAGCUCCACCAGAUUACGACGAAGUCGCAAAAAUUACUUUGUCGAAGAAGGCUUAAUGCUUGAACCGCGACAGAGCUUACAACAGAAAUUCUUCAAAUCACAGGGGAGUUUGAGGAGUUGUGAGUCAUGGGGAAUUGUGAGCCAGCACUAAAAGUCGGCAUAUUUGAAAUUUUAACAUGUUUCAAUUACGGUAAAAUGUUUCUCUCCAUACAGUCUUACUUUUUGACUAACACUUGUCGCGUUAACACACAAUCUAAGAGUCUCUCCAGAUUUUGAUUUUUAAUUUCCUUUAAAAAGUUUUUUCGACCAUUUAUAUUUGUGAUCUUACUUAUUUUUUCGAGCUGAUUGCAAAAAUAAAUAUAUUAUAAAAUUAUUACUGGUAAACUAUCGUUUCAAUGUACAACAGAAGUUUUGCAUGAAUAUUUGAUGUGUUAAUUACUAUGCGGCUAUUUUAAUAAUGUAGCAUUUGGAGAAUUGUGAGCACCACUUUUGGGGAGUUGUGAGCCACUACAUUUUUGCCAUUUUUUCAAUUUAAGUUGGCAUCUUUCGUGCGUAUUUCGAAAGAUUCAUGCAUAAUUUGGAUGUUGCAUACAAUUUCAUAGUAAAUUCAGUAGUUUUUGUGAUUUUUUCGUGUUUUAAUUGUAGAUAUAGUUAUCAUAUCGUGUCAUAAGUAUUGCAACGUACUUUUCCUGUGCUCGCCAGGCGCAGGAGAGUACGCGCAAUUAAUUAAAAAAUGGGAAACGGGAAUGACUAAAACCGUAAUCUUUAAUUGGGCGCCAGGCGCGACUCUUCGUGCCACGAAAACCGAAAAGUGCGUAAUCACGACAAGGCGUAGCACCUCUGCUUGUGAUUUGCUCAGUAUAUAGCAAAGAGGCGCGGUUCUUAAUAAUACGGGGAGGAAGAGAGAGGAAAACGCAAUCACAACGCUAGAAUUAAAUUGAACUAUUAAAGACAAAGUAUUUUAUAAGGUGACAGAAGCGGUUUUGUUUAACAGUAGUUUACAGUGAGAUGAAUCGACGGUCAACAAUUUUGAAUUGGAUAAUAGGGUGAAAUAGUAGCGAUUCGGAAGAAGAGAUAGAAAUAAACGGCGGUGCUUUAAAUCGACGGAGGUAUGAUUUGCAUGAGCGGAAAGGUUAACAUGAGAGAAAAACGAUGGAGACAGAUAAUGCUUCACGGCGAAAUUGAAUACGGAAUACGUGACACAUUAACUUUUGUAACAUAAACGCAUGCGGCGAGGACAAUUAUCUCGCACACGAAUAACUUACAAUAUCACGCGGUCUUCGCAUGAUAUAAAGUUCCUUUCGGCAAAGCUCAAUUGACAAUUAACAAGAGUAACAAUUAAUUUUGUAGCAUUCCGGUAGCUAAUGCGACUCGCGGUAAUUUCACGGAGCGAAAAAUUUCGCGGAAACCGCUCGGCUCGAGUCUCGUAGAGAUCGAGCCGCGCAAAUUCCACGCGCUACUUUUACGACUUCACGCAAUCGAUCCGAAAAUUCUCACAAAGAAUCCGACACCAACACGAUAAAGCUCAUGAACACCAGUCGACGCGACACGAUAAUACGGAACGACAAUUUGAAAUGAUGCGAGAACACUCAUAAAACAACGACACGACGAUUCUCACAAAAUCAGGCACGGUAUAAUACAUAAAUUUUACUUAAUACUAAGACGGUACAGGUGACUGUCGGUGCGCAUGUAUUCUUGAGAGGGACUUACAACAAGAUCCGGGCUGCAAUCGAUCUCUCUGGAAAGGUCGCUUUUGUAACUUUACUUUUAAUCGCGGGAUGGCUCAUUCUUAAUUGCGGUAUGCGCUACUAAUUAACAGAGACGACGGAGAUCGCCUCUCACUCGCCUUCUUAAAUUUAUGGUUACCGGAGCGGCGGCUUAUAGGAAAUCGGCAGGCGGUAGUCUUCGGCUGGAUUUCGGCUGGGUCGACCUCUUUGGAUGAUGGCACGCACGACAGUGACGGACCGAUUCGCGCUUUGCGGCUCGCCGGGCUCCGCCGAAUUUCGGCGUGAUGUCACAAUUCCUUCCUUGGCCGAUUUUCACCGAUGAUUGGCUACUCCAUCGUGCGUCCUUUUUGCUCCAAGCGGUAGUCUGUUUCUAUUAGGCAGUUGGUAGCGCGUCCUUUUCUAAUGCACCGGUACUACUAAUUUUAUUCUGUCGCUUUUCUUUGUUUCACCGCGCCGUUGCCACGUUGUUGUUGUGAGCGCUGCCCGUCUAUCAGCAGGCCGGCGGGGCAAAACAAGGUACUCCAAAAUUGUCUCGGUGUUGACACUCUGAUCUAAGGUGUCGUUUCCUUCUGCGGUCGCCGGGCUGGCCAGGCCUUUGACGACUUUUGGGUCCGGCAGAACGGUUCAGCGGCCUGCAAUCAGCUGGCUCGUUUUUGGAGCUUCUCCAGUUGAAUUUGCUGCAAUUAAAGACGUUAAUGCAUGAAGCGUUUGGGAAUAUAAACGAGAAAAAUAAGCGGGACCACGACUUAGCUUUCCAGCGCGGUGUCGGUAUCGGUGUGGCUCCGGCCACUUUCUCGGCUUCCUCGUUUGAUGUCUUCCUCCGGACGGCCGCCGUGAACAGAGUCGUCCGCUCGGGCUUGCGCUAACGCUCUCACAUUCUAGCGCUCUCGAUAAUUAUACAUGUUACCGAAAAAAUACAGAUAUAGAUAAAAAUAAAGAGCGGUAAGGUGUGGCAAUCAAAAACGGGGUACUCGUUUCUCCUUCUCCCUCCCGGGGAAAGAGACGCAACCCAGAGUAUUCUCCAUGACCUUAUCGCUCUCCGGAACGGUGCUACGGAGCGUCACGUCGCAAUAUACAAGUGAAUAUAGUAAGCCAGCGAUCCUUAUUAAUAUACACAUAGUGGUUGCCAUUAAAGAGAUGAUGAUUGAGAAGAAAAAGGUUCGGUCUGUUGGUCAAGUAUAUAACAUCGAUAGGUGCAAAUUGACUCGCUACAUUUUGAAACUAAAUGAGGCAAACGUAGAUUCUUCAACCGCUUCGAAUAAAAAAUUGGGCAAUUUUGUUUCAAAAGAAUUCUGCAUUAUCUGCAAAAGUGCUAUGCCGAAGAAAUUGAACAAAAACAACUCCAUACAUUGCAAUGAAUGCGAUUGAGCUGUGCAUUUAAAAUGUGCCAAUUUAAAAACCGGUUAUUAUAUCUGUAUUUACUGCAAAUUGGACUAAUCAGAUUAUACAGACUUUAUUUUUUUAUCAGAAUUAUCUUAAUUUUCUUUUUACUACAACUUAAAUAGAGAAUAAUCAUUAAAAUAUAUCAUUUUAAGUCGUGGUUCACAACUCCCCAAAA